AGACAAGCUCCCUGCAUGAUUGGCUUCAAAGUGUCUGGUGCCAAACAACUAACAGAGGCGCAAAAAGUAGAAGCCGUGCAUUUACAGCCCAGCGAAAGGGAGGCAGACAGAACGCGAGCUACCCGGGGCUCCUCAGAUGCUGGAGUCUCUCUCUACCUUUGCACGGCUCUCUCGACGUCUUAGGAGCAUUUAAGCAUGCCAGCCCAGGAGAUCAGAGACACUCAGCCCAGCUGAAAACAAGUGAGAGAGAACAAUUAGAGAGGGGGCUCAAUUCUCAAAAGUGAGCCCGCUCCUUGAUCUGCAAAGCGGAAGCAGCCGCAGCAGCUGUGAGCAAGAAAAAGGUGAAAUUUACCAAGAAAGAACUCGUCUCUAUUCCAGUCUAUUGAAUCCCAGUCAUGGCAUCCGUCUUGGGAAACAACAGAGGGUCUGGAGGGCUAAGUAGUCAACUCAAAUGCAAGUCGAAAAGGAGGAGGAGAAGAAGAUCAAAGAGAAAAGGCUGGCUCCCAGGGAAAUACCAUGCCAGUGUUCCACAGAUUUCACUGGAUACCAGUCAGUUUCUUCUGGCAGAUUGAAGAGAAUAGACUGAAGAAAGAAUCACAAUCAGAUUGUAGAGGCCAUCAAGUGCAAGCUUCUUUUUGCACAAAAGGAAACAAGUUAAAAUGGUUGUCACUUCUCCAUGGUCAUAUAGCAAGGGAAAUGAAGAUCCUGAGGCACAGGGAUGAUAUCAUUUCCACCUUUGUAUCCACAGCGUCUGGCAUAUAUUAUAAGUAUUAAAAUGCUUGUUCAGUUUAAUUGAAUUGAAAAUAUUCUUGGCUGUUAGAAAAGAUUUUCUUGGUUAUGCAUACUGUAUAUCUGAAUUACAAAGAGACCAAGUUAGGAUUGCUGUCAGGUAAAAUUUUUCUAACAGUGAAAACUGUCCAAAAGUGUAAUGGGCUGCCUUAGGAGGUGACAAGGUUGCAUUCUAGGAGGUCUUCAAACAGGGACUGAAUAACCACUUGUCAGGUAUCUCGUAGCGUGGAUUCCUUUGGGGUAUGUCUUAAACUAGAUGACUACUGAGUUGCUGAUAUCUUUCAAAGUCUGUGAUUCUGUGAUUUUAUGAGUUGACAGGAAUGCUUUUUCAGAGCGUUUUUUUUUUUUCCUAAAUGAAUUGAUUUUCUUCUCUGUUAGACAAUUUUGUUGAAGUUUCCUGAAGUAGUGACACAAUAGAAGCAUUUCUAAGCUGAAGAAUUUUUUAGAGUAACAUAGAAGAAGCAAUUUCAGAUGAGGUAACUUGAGAAACAAUAGCAGAGAGUAAGUUGUAUAGCCAUUCUUGAGCAAAACUGGGAAACCCAGUUAUUCUGUGAUUCUAGGACCUUCCCUUUGCUCUCUUCUUCAACCUCUGUUUAUUUUUUCAAGGAUCUAUACUAUCAAAAUUUACUUGAAACAAAGGAUCUGAUAGCCUCAAUUCUAGUAAUGAGAGUUAAAACUUUGUGUGUAUAUCUACUUCAUUAUUGGCAUGUAAAGUAUAAAAAUGGGCUUCCUUGCUAGGGUUAAAAAAAAUGAGAUUUCCUGACUUGCAGC
rnacentral:lncRNA from 1 species